rnacentral:rRNA from 1 species
UACCCAGUUUCUUUAUCCAAAACGGAUAUCUGCGUUAAUUUUGGAGCUAAUACGUGCACCCUAGCACCGCCAGCAAUGGUAGUGCGCACUUAUUAGAUCAAGGCUGAUUGGGGCAACCCUUUUGGUGACUCUGAAUAAUUUAGCAGAUCGCAUGGUCUUGAACCGGCGACGUACUGGUCGAGCGGGUGCCCUAUCAACUAUUGAUGGAAGUCUAUGUGUCUUCCAUGGUUGUUACGGGUAACGGAGAAUCAGGGUUCGACUCCGGAGAGCUAGCCUUAGAAACGGCUAUCACAUCCAAGGAAGGCAGCAGGCGCGUAAAUUACCCACUCUCAAUUCGAGGAGGUAGUGACUAUCAAUAACGAGACAGACCUCUUCGAGGUCUGUCAUUGAAAUGAGCACAACUUAAAGACUUUAACGAAGUCUAUGGGAGGGCAAGUCUGGUGCCAGCAGCCGCGGUAAUUCCAGCUCCCAACGUGUAUAUCGUCAUUGCUGCGGUUAAAAAGCUCGUAGUUGGAUCUAAGUUUAUGAUGGUAGUUCUCCAUGUGAGAUACUGCUCGUCUGAACUGUUUUGCCGGUUUUCCGUUGUUUCGACAACGGUGGCUGGUAUUGUAACUUUGAUUAAAUCAAUGUGAUUAAAACAGGCGUUUGCUUG